UACGAAGGGGGCUAGCGUUGUUCGGAUUUACUGGGCGUAAAGCGCACGUAGGCGGAUUGUUAAGUCAGGGGUGAAAUCCUGGAGCUCAACUCCAGAACUGCCUUUGAUACUGGCAAUCUCGAGUCCGGAAGAGGUGAGUGGAACUCCUAGUGUAGAGGUGGAAUUCGUAGAUAUUAGGAAGAACACCAGUGGCGAAGGCGGCUCACUGGUCCGGUACUGACGCUGAGGUGCGACAGCGUGGGGAGCAAACAGG
rnacentral:rRNA from 1 species